rnacentral:rRNA from 1 species
AUUGAACGCUGGCGGCAGGCUUAACACAUGCAAGUCGAGCGGAGAUGAGGUGCUUGCACCUUAUCUUAGCGGCGGACGGGUGAGUAAUGCUUAGGAAUCUGCCUAUUAGUGGGGGACAACAUUCCGAAAGGAAUGCUAAUACCGCAUAUGCCCUACGGGGGAAAGCAGGGGAUCUUCGGACCUUGCGCUAAUAGAUGAGCCUAAGUCGGAUUAGCUAGUUGGUGGGGUAAAGGCCUACCAAGGCGACGAUCUGUAGCGGGUCUGAGAGGAUGAUCCGCCACACUGGGACUGAGACACGGCCCAGACUCCUACGGGAGGCAGCAGUGGGGAAUACUGGACAAUGGGCGGAAGCCUGAUCCAGCCAUGCCGCGUGUGUGAAGAAGGCCUUUUGGUUGUAAAGCACUUUAAGCGAGGAGGAGGCUACCUGGAUUAAUACUCUAGGAUAGUGGACGUUACUCGCAGAAUAAGCACCGGCUAACUCUGUGCCAGCCGCCGCGGUAAUAC